AAUUAUUGUCAAUAAUCAUAGAAAGUGAUAACUAUUAAAUAUACGUCAAACAUACGAGUUAAAACGAACCAAAUUAUGAAUACUUUAGUCCUAGUGAUUAGCCUAAUUAUUAGCGUGGUGGUGAUUAUUCCACCGUGCGGGGCUGCACUUGGACGAAAGAAGGCUUAGAAAAAGAGAGCCAGACUUCAAAAAGACCCCCGCACCGAAAGGCGCGGGGGUUUUUUUUAGGGCAAUUUUUUAGUUUAGAGAAGAAAAACAAGCAUAACAAAACAUCACAACCAGCCGGU
rfam:Xenorhabdus szentirmaii DSM 16338, WGS project CBXF01000000 data, contig: XENSZ_2115_Contig_82